CCUGUCCCAUUUCUGAAUGGAGAGAAAUGCACUGUUGGGAGUAUGCAAAUAACAUGAGUGGGUCGGGCCUCAGUCGUGAAGCUGGAGAGCUAAGAAGGCCGAGCAGACUUCAAGGGAUUAUUAGGUUGUCUAAUAAAGAGAAAUGGCACCAGAUUGGAAGACAGAAGUCAGGCUGAGGCCUUGUUCCUGCUUAUGUUUUUUAUAGAAAACGAGAUCAUAAAGGGAUAGUGUCAUAAGCCAGUAUACUCUGGAAAUAAGAGGAAAAUAAAGAGAUAGAAUUUCUCUCUGACUUCAAGGGAGCUAUCAGGUUGUGUUCCCUUUCUAGCUGGUUGCAGUAGGGAAAGCCAAAGUAACUGCAAAAACCAGAUUCUGAAGAUGCCAUGAUAUCUGACUUCUUGAAUAUCCAGUUGAUGACAAAGAACUGCCCUGUCCUGCUAUCUUUUCCGCUCACUCUGAACUAUUAUUUAAAUAAGAAAUAAACUCCCUUAUGUUUGAG
rnacentral:lncRNA from 10 species